UCGCACGAGAAAGGGGAGCAAUCCCUGAGUAAAGUGGCGCACGGGUGAGUAACACGUGAAUGAUCUACCUCCGAGUGGGGAAUAACUGAGAGAAAUCUUAGCUAAUACCGCAUAACACUUACGAGUCAAAGCAGCAAUGCGCUUGGAGAGGAGUUCGCGGCCGAUUAGUUAGUUGGCGGGGUAAUGGCCCACCAAGACGAUGAUCGGUAUCCGGCCUGAGAGGGCGCACGGACACACUGGAACUGAAACACGGUCCAGACUCCUACGGGAGGCAGCAGUGGGGAAUUUUGCGCAAUGGGGGAAACCCUGACGCAGCAACGCCGCGUGGAGGAUGAAAUAUCUUGGUAUGUAAACUCCUUUCGAUGGGGAAGAUUAUGACGGUACCCAUAGAAGAAGCCCCGGCUAACUUCGUGCCAGCAGCCGCGGUAAUACGAGGGGGGCAAGCGUUGUUCGGAUUUAUUGGGCGUAAAGGGUGCGUAGGCGGUUUGGCAAGUCUGAUGUGAAAUCUAUGGGCUCAACCCAUAGUCUGCAUCAGAAACUGCCGGGCUUGAGUAUGGGAGAGGUGAGUGGAAUUUCCGGUGUAGCGGUGAAAUGCGUAGAUAUCGGAAGGAACACCUGUGGCGAAAGCGGCUCACUGGACCAUAACUGACGCUGAUGCACGAAAGCUAGGGGAGCAAACAGGAUUAGAUACCCUGGUAGUCCUAGCCCUAAACGAUGAUUGC
rnacentral:rRNA from 1 species